AUUGAACGCUGGCGGCAGGCCUAACACAUGCAAGUCGAGCGGAUGAAGGGAGCUUGCUCCUGGAUUCAGCGGCGGACGGGUGAGUAAUGCCUAGGAAUCUGCCUGGUAGUGGGGGAUAACGUCCGGAAACGGGCGCUAAUACCGCAUACGUCCUGAGGGAGAAAGUGGGGGAUCUUCGGACCUCACGCUAUCAGAUGAGCCUAGGUCGGAUUAGCUAGUUGGUGGGGUAAAGGCCUACCAAGGCGACGAUCCGUAACUGGUCUGAGAGGAUGAUCAGUCAACCGGAAACGAAGAAAGGGCCCAACCCCUUAGGGAAGGCACCGUGGGGAAUAUUUGAACAAGGGCGAAAGCCUGAUCCAGCCAUGCCGCGUGUGUGAAGAAGGUCUUCGGAUUGUAAAGCACUUUAAGUUGGGAGGAAGGGCAGUAAGUUAAUACCUUGCUGUUUUGACGUUACCAACAGAAUAAGCACCGGCUAACUUCGUG
rnacentral:rRNA from 1 species